GUCAGGCUGAAAAAGAAUUUCAGGAGGACAGAUGGAGAACAUAGAUUGUGCUCAUGUCAGGGACUUGCAGUGUGAAAGACCUCAUGGGGACUUUUGAAGAACCAUUACCUGAUCCUCAUGAGAGAUAUACGUUUAAGUGAUACUACAGAAAAAAAAAAGCACUGGAAGCCAGCCAUGGAUAGCAAAGAUAAAGCUUCAUAAGAGGAGAAACUAAGAAAAUAUUAUUUUUGGGUCUAAUACUGCUGCUUCCUUGUCUAUUACUUGAGAAGCAAUAAUUUGGUUCACAUGGAGGAGGUGACUUCUUUCAGAUCAUCAACACUGCCUUUGAAAACGUGAGGUGAUACGGAGUCAGAAUGGGGUCUAUGGGUAGAAAACGAUCAUGUGAGAGAAGAUACUGUGAGUUACCUGUAUGUGAACACCUAUCUGCAGAUGAACCGAAGGAUACCCCAGAUUUUCUACAUAGACAAUUAUACAUCUGUGAACAAAAACAGUUUAUUU
rnacentral:lncRNA from 1 species